rnacentral:tRNA from 1 species
GCCCGCUGCGGGCGGUGGCCGCGUCCGGCCCGUCCGGCGGGCUGGUCCCGGCGAAGCUGCCGGUCGAUCCCAAGUUCGACGCCAAGAAGCGGGCG